rnacentral:lncRNA from 1 species
CUUUCCAAAAGAAAGAAGAGGCAUUAUGAUGUCUCCCAUUUUCUUUCUUUAUGUUGUGCACCAUUCCAAAGCUUUUCAUUUUUUUUUUGCAUGGUGUCGUACACUUUGCCCCAUACUCUUCUCCGCAUGCAGACCAUCCUUUUUUUUUUUUUUUUUUUUAAGCACAGUCACCUUAUCACAUUCUUUUGCUUAUGUGUGUCAGUGACGCUUAAGAGAUCAUUAUGGACUGCACAGUCACUGCACUAUAUGCAGACCGGUUUCAUUUGCAAUUGUUAAGACCAUUAUAUAUAUACGUAUGUAUACACGCAUAUAGGGCACCGCAUGGCCAUUGCAUAGCCACUGCACUUGUCUUGCAUCUCGUCUACACUGUCCUGCAAUCCUGUGCUGCACUGUGUUCUCCGCGUCUACCGCCGUUGAACUUGGUACUGGACAAAAGAGUGGAUGUGAGUGCAGGUUCGAACCACAAGGGUGAGUUGCCUUCCACCUCUUCGGCCUCUACAACUCUCCGUGCUAUUUGUAGAAGUUCGGUUGCGCUGGAGACGAGGAGUGAUUCAUCACCGCUCCUCUUCG